rnacentral:rRNA from 1 species
UACGGGGGGGGCAAGCGUUGUUCGGAAUUACUGGGCGUAAAGGGCUCGUAGGCGGCCAACUCAGUCGGACGUGAAAUCCCUCGGCUUAACCGGGGAACUGCGUCCGAUACUGGAUGGCUUGAGUGUGGGAGAGGGAUGCGGAAUUCCAGGUGUAGCGGUGAAAUGCGUAGAUAUCUGGAGGAACACCGGUGGCGAAGGCGGCAUCCUGGACCACGACUGACGCUGAGGAGCGAAAGCCAGGGGAGCAAACGGG